GUCCUGACCAAAUCUCGUGCCAGCAGUCGCGGUAAAACGAGGAGGGCAAGCGUUAAUCAUCAUGAUUCGGUCUAAAGGGUUCGUAGACUGCUUUUUAAGUCUUUACCGCGAGGAAAGAUACUGUUAAGCUAGAGUUUUAUGGAGGAAGGAGGAAUUUUCGCAGUAAGGAUGAAAUCUAUAUAGCGAAGAGACCGCUAACAGCAUAAGCAUCCUUCCAUAUUUAUACUGACGUUGAGGGACCAAAGCUAGGGGAGCGAGCCGGAUUCGAUACCCGAGUAGUCCUAGCCUACAGCGAUGAAUGCUCAUUCUUAAAUAUUUAUUUGAGAAUUUAGUGAAGACGUUAAGCAUUCCACCUGGAGAGUACGUCUGAAAGGAUGAAAUCCAAAACAUUAGGCGGUUGCAGACCUCAGCAGUUAAGCAU
rnacentral:rRNA from 2 species